rnacentral:lncRNA from 1 species
AUGUUUCUAGUCUUACUGGCAUCUGAGUCACAUCCAAAUCCCAGGCUCCGAUGUUCAGUCUUUGCUGAAUUCCUGACUUGCAGCUACCAGCUACAGUGCUUGGAAGUGAUGACCUCAGCAGGCCUGGCCUUUCACCUUUCUACCUCCAAAGAGCUUUUGAAGGGAAGUUAUUCCUCACUAUUGGGAGAAAGUUAUACUUUUCUGGUACAUGCACUCUUGGAACCUGAGCGACAAGGUAAGAAGUGUAAUCACUUUGCUGGAAAGACCACACAUGGAGGCCCUGAAAUACAUGGAGAUGGAAAGGGGCCCAGAUGAGUGCAAACUGCCAGCCAUCCCUUCCAAGGACCCAAGUAUGUGAGCAAAACCAUCUUGAGCCUUCCAGAUCAGUUCAGCUGUCAGGUGAGUACCACUGAGCAAUCCCAGUCAAUGCCCUUUCCAAAAGCAGAAGUGGAAGAACCAGCCAACUAAGCCCUAUCCAAAGUUCAGACCCAUAACAUCAUAAGAUGUAAUAAAAUGGUUGUGGCUUUAAGACAUCAAAUUUUAUGGUUAAUAACAUAACCAAAAUAUAGAGGGUGUGUGUAACUCUAUGAAGUGAGAUGAUAGCGUAGUAGCUACAAUGUACAGGUGCUAAAGAGGUAAUCAGAGCUUUGCCCUAUAGAUGAGGUUGUCUGAAUGUGGAAUGACCUGCAGAAUUAGCCUGCAGAGUUCAGCUCUGAGUCAUUCUGAUUUAAGGAGCUCACACAAAGCCUGGGAUCUGCCUAAAUUCUGCCUCCACGAUUUCAUGGUUCCUGUUGAGGCAGGUUCUUGAAAAAUCCAGACCCAAUCCCUGAUUUUUCCUGAACACUGUCACAUUGUCUCUGCUGGUAUGAAUUCCACAAGAUUUGAAGGUCAUGUUUAUACCACCGAAACAUCAAUGCUUGUUUAUCAUCAGCCACUGCAGUUCUGGUCAAUUUUUAUAUUUCAACAAUAUUCAAUAUAUGUGUAACGGAAGCUUUAAAACAAGCCUCAAAUGAUAAGCAACCCUCUCUCUGUUUUGUUUUGCCUAAAAAUUCUUAUCUGUCUUGGGUAUUCACCAGGUACCUUUUUGCCAUGAAGAGAAUUCUUGAAGAUUAAUCCUAAAUGUCCGCUGAAGAUGAAAAUGAUGGAGCAAGUAUUGUUAACGUGGGCCAAGAGAAAGCAGAUGAAAUUAAUAAUUGUUAGUUUUAAUUUAUUUAAUAAGUUCACAACAGGCCUCAUUCUUAUGCAUAGCAUAUUUGGUCUUUAGAUAUCUCUCUCACUUCUCAUCUGACUAUGGCCUAAUUUUAAAAUGUGUGUGCCUCAAAAUACCUGUAGAUUUCUAAUAUUUAUAAAGAUAUUACAUAAACAGCAGAGGAUAGCAGAGGAGAAAGCAGUUAGAAGAGGCCUGGCUGUUCUCACUCCUCAAUUCAUCACUGAUUCUUAUACUCUGUCUCGAAAUCUAAGCUCAGUCAGUUGUCAGAAUCUCAAGAAAGCCUUUUGUUCAUAUAAAUUAAACUUUUUCCAUUUCAUUUUACAAUGCAUGUAAGUUAUAGUUCCAUUUCAUGCCUAUUUUUUAAAAGAAGAUUCAAACAAGCUAUUAAUGGAUUUCUAACCUUUAAAAACACUCUGCUUUCCUCUUUUCCAUAUUAUUUCUUUCUUAAUGCCUUUGCUUGACUUUUUUUCAUGGUUUGUUCCAUGAAUGUGUUGUGCUCCUCAUGCUUUACCUCUCAACAUAACUGAAACACUUAGGAGUUGCCAUCUGUUCUGGUCAUCAUUGUCAGUUACAAGAAAGCUAAAGAAUGUAACUGCUGAUCCCCCAUUUCCUUACCGACUACACACUUACAAGAGAGAACUUGCUGUUACGAAAGCAUGAGAGUCCCUCCAUCAUCUGCCUUUGGUCAGAUUGAAAACAUAAGCUAAGACUUAUGUUUAGGAGUAGGCUGGUUUGGGUAUGGAAAAGAUCAACCCACAUGUUCUGCCAUGUGAGCCAUCAGAAUUAGAGAUUAACUUCUGAGACAGAUGAUGAGAAUGAAGAACAGUAUAUUCAGAACCCACAAGUCUGAUUGCCUAGCUUUAUUGUGUGAAUUUCUGCAGUAUCCUCCAUGAAUUACUGGUAUAAGGUUGCCAUAUAAAUUAUAGAUUCUUGAUGGUGACCAUGUCUUGAUUUUUUUUUCAUCAAAGAUGUGACUCUCUAGAAGCAAUAAACUAUAAGAGAGCUGUAUUGGUGUACCAGCAGGGAUGUCCAGCAUUAGCCAGGUGAGAUUCACAGUGGUUCACUGUAGGUCUGAGUAUAGAGACAGUAGGUAGGCAAACCGUGGCUUGGGAAAAGGAUGAGAGUUCUAACCAUGAGGACUGCCCAUCAACAGAACAGCCUGCUCCAGCCUGCUCCACCUAUGACAGUGUUAUGGGUUGAAUUAUGUUCUCAAAAAGAUAUGUUGAAGUCUGUUAAAGCAAAAUGAAAAUGAAAACGGGGCCUGAAAAAUUCCUGGGCAAACAAAACCUGGCAGGCUUUAAAAAUAGCCUUCAUCUUGCUUAAGCUGCAAACAUGAGUAAAACUUGGGUCAUUUCUGGUAGAUGCUCGUGUUAAAGAAAAAUGAAACUUAACCUCAGCCAAUCAAGAGCAGCCAACUAAAAUAUAUAAUUAUAUGAUCGAAGACUUUCCAUCAAGGUAAAACAAGACGAUUUAAAAAAACUGUAACCAGCCAAAUAAUUGCUUUGUCUUAUUUCCAUAUUCACCUGGUAAAUAUUUUCUUCUAAUGCUUCCUCAGUGGAGCACUACACCGCUUUUGGUUUGAUGCCUCCCAACUGAGGAACUGUUGUUUACACAAAUUAACUCUAAAUUUUUAUUUUGCCUCGGAUUUUUCUUUCAACAAAUCCUAACCCCGGGUACCUGUGAUCGUGACCUUAUUUGGAAACAGGGUCUUUGCAGAUGUAAUCAAGAUAGUUAUUAUGGUAGAUCCUAAUCCAAUUUGACAAGUGUCUUUAUAAGAGGAGAGAAGCACAAAGGUAGACACCGCUGACUCUGUGAAGACAGAGACAAUCUCUGAAGAUGGAGUCAGAGAUUGGAGUUAUGCUGCCACAAACCAAGGAACAUUUGGGGCUACCAGAAGCUGGAAGAGGUGAGGAAGGACCCUGGACUAGAGGCUUCAGAGACGUCAUGGCCCUGCCAACACCUGGAUUUCAAACUUAUAGCUUGCAGCCUAUGAGGGAAUUUCUGUUGUUUUAAGCCACCUGGAAUGUGGUUUGUAGUAUAGAUGGUCUCUGACUUAUGAUGGUUCAACUUACAAUUUUAUGAUUUUCUGACUUUAUGAUGGUGUGAAAGUGACACACAUUCAACAGAAUAUCAAUAAGUUACACAAGCUAUUCAACUAGUCAGCCACACAGUCACAAAGGUAAGCAACAGAUAUUCUAGAAUGCAUUGCUCCCAGAUUAUUUUGCAGGCUAUUGCAAGUGUUUGGAGCAGGUGUGAAAAUCAUAGAGUGUACUACAUACACCUAGAUGUAUAGCCUACUACACACCUAGGCUAUAUGGUAUGUAGUAACUGUUGCUGUACUGAAUAUGGUAGGCAAUUGUAACACAAUGGUAAGGAUUCAUAUAUCUAAACAUGUCUAAGCAUAGAAAAGGGACAGUAAAAAUACGGCAUUAUAAUCCUAUAGGACAACCAUCAUAUACGCAGUUCGCUGUUGACUAAAAUGGUAUUAUGUGGUGCAUGACUAUAUCAUUGCCUAGUGAGAAAAAUAAGUUGCAUAAAUAGGAAAUCCAAGAAUACCAAGGGAAAAGAAUUCCAAAUCGAUAUUAGUGGCUAGAUGAAAGACUGAUAAACAAAAAUGUUUUUCUAAAUUUUAAUAUUAAGUGUUAAAAUGUAGUUUGAAAAAGAUACUGUUCAUGGUAGCAACAUAAAUUUUAACAUACGUAGGAAUAGCCUUAGCAAGAAAGUUUAGCAUUUCUAUGAGUAAAUUUAUAAAACUCUGCCGAGAGGAACAAAGGUCUACACUAAACGAAGACACCAGGUGCUUGCUUGGGAAGAAUGAAUAAUGUGAAGAUAUUACUUCUGCCCAAUAAUGUGAAGAUAUUACUUCUGCCCAAAUAAAUCUAUAUAUUCAUGUAUUUUGAUUCAAAAACUCCACAAAUUUUUUUGAGGUAAAAAUGAUUUUUAUUCAGAAAUAAAAGAAUAAUAUUAAAU